rnacentral:rRNA from 1 species
GAUGAACGCUGGCGGCGUGCCUAAUACAUGCAAGUCGAGCGAACGGACGAGAAGCUUGCUUCUCUGAUGUUAGCGGCGGACGGGUGAGUAACACGUGGAUAACCUACCUAUAAGACUGGGAUAACUUCGGGAAACCGGAGCUAAUACCGGAUAAUAUUUUGAACCGCAUGGUUCAAAAGUGAAAGACGGUCUUGCUGUCACUUAUAGAUGGAUCCGCGCUGCAUUAGCUAGUUGGUAAGGUAACGGCUUACCAAGGCAACGAUGCAUAGCAGACCUAAGAGCGUGAUCGGCCACACUGGAACUGAGACACGGUCCAGACUCCUACGGGAGGCAGCAGUAGGGAAUCUUACGAAAUGGGCGAAAGCCUGACGGAGCAACGCCGCGUGAGUGAUGAAGGUCUUCGGAUCGUAAAACUCUGUUAUUAGGGAAGAACAUAUGUGUAAGUAACUGUGCACAUCUUGACGGUACCUAAUCAGAAAGCCACGGCUAACUACGUG